UUCGGUCGCCGGUCACCACCAGCGCCAAGCUCCACCCUCGCCCUCAUCUCCCCCAUGCGCUGAACACUUCCACCCCCACCCCCUGCGAGCUCCCCUCCCCUUCCUCCGACUACAGCACGACGAGGUCGAUGGUCGCAUCGGGCUCACCUCGUCUACCCCCGUGCGGUCCACCCCCGGAUCCGCUGCAGCCCGCCCUCCCGGCCGGGAGAUUCUCCCAAGCGCACCGGCCGCACCCUGCUUCUUCUCCCCUUCUGACGAACAGACAAACAUGCGAGCCUUUGGGCCAUCCAGUUCAGAAAGCUUUUUUUCUUAGUUUUUUUUUUCAGAUUUGGCUGUUGAUGUGCAGUUCACAAGUAACAGGAGUGCGUCACGGCCGAGCAGCAUGAAUCUCAGUUGCUCAGCUGAGCACAAGGAGUGCCUCCCGGUGAGCACGGGCUCCGGCCAUGGGAUCUCAAUCCUCCAUCUGUCAUGGAUCCUCGCUGGGGCAGCAUGGUGAUGCAGUCCGGCAUGCGCGCGCGUGCAACACGAUUGUGGUGGCGAGGCAGCUCGUGUUGUUCCUUCAGCUAGUGGAGGGUUGGCCUUUAGUUCAGAAAAAAAAAUUAAGUGUAGCUCACUUGUUUCAUUGCUGUAGUGAUCUUGUAUUCCGAGCGGUUCACUAUGUUGCCAAGUGCAAAAACAAAAUGGAAGAAAACAAACUGGAAAAAGUUGAUUUUUUAAUGCA